UUUCCGUAGGUGAACCUGCGGAAGGAUCAUUAACACAAAAAUUUUAUCCACCUUUUUUAUCGAUGGACAAAAAAGAAGAAUUUUAUUCUUUUUUUUUUUGUUCACUCGGUAAAAAAAGCACCGUGAUAUGUUGAAGUCCUUAACCUCAUUUUUUUUUUUAAUAGAGGUCAUUUAAGAACCCUUUCACCAUAAUUAAUAAUUAAAAUUUUGUUUUUUUUAUUUUUAUUUGUAAAAAGAUAGAAAUUUAUAAAAACAAAAACAAAAAAAAAGAAAACCGAGACACAACUUUUAACAACGGAUAUCUUGGUUCUC
rnacentral:misc_RNA from 1 species